UUCACGAAAAACAGGUGGUUU
ensembl:piRNA 21ur-825 ncRNA